GAUGAUGGAUUGCCCUUGUAAAUUAUCUAUUUGCGAAGUGAAUUGCCUGCAGUGUUGUGUGAUGUUAUCCUCCUAAAAACACUCAUUAUCACCAAUUGUCAUCAACUAUCUACACUUCCCAAAGAGAUUGGAAAGCUAGUGAAUUUAGAAGUGCUCAGGCUUAGGUCUUGUACUGAUUUAUCUGAGUUGCCAAAAUCUAUCACAAGCCUUAAAAAAUCUGAAUCUAUCACAGGCCUUAAAAACUUAAGACUUCUCGACAUAUUUGAUUGCCUAAGCAUUGGACACUUGCCAAAAGAGAUUGGUGAGUUACGUAAAUUAGAGGAGAUCCACAUGAAAGGGUGCUUGAGCUUGCGUAAUGAGUUGCCACCAUCAACCACAAAUCUUGAGCAAUUGAAGCUUGUGAUAUGUGAUGAAGAGAGGGCUAAGUUUUGGGAGCCUAUCAAGGAAGUUCUUACCAAUCUAGAGGUCAAGGUGGCUGAAAAAGAUAUCAACUUGACUUGGCUUCUCAAACCAUGAUUUAUGAGAAUUGUUUCUUUUUGGAAAAUUUUGUAGGCUUUGUCAACUUAUUAUCAUUAUCUUCUA